GCAUUGGUAGUUCAGUGGUAGAAUUCUUGCCUUCCAUACAUGAGACCAGGGUUUGAUUCCCAGCCAGUGCA